rnacentral:rRNA from 1 species
GAUGAACGCUAGCGGCAGGCUUAACACAUGCAAGUCGUGGGGGCAGCAUAAGGGUAGCAAUACUCUGGUGGCGACCGGCAAACGGGUGCGGAACACGUACGCAACCUUCCUCAAAGCGGGGGAUAGCCUCUCGAAAGAGAGAUUAAUACCCCAUAGUAUCUUGAAACUGCAUGGUUUUAAGAUUAAAGCUCCGGCACUUUGAGAGGGGCUUGCGGCUGAUUAGCUAGUUGGUGGGGGUAAAAGCCUCCCAAGGCCACGAUCAGUAGCUGGUCUGAGAGGAUGAUCAGCCACACUGGGACUGAGACACGGCCCAGACUCCUACGGGAGGCAGCAGUGGGGAAUUUUCCGCAAUGGGCGAAAGCCUGACGGAGCAAUACCGCGUGAGGGAAGACUGCCUAUGGGUUGUAAACCUCUUUUUCAGGGAGGAAUAAAUGACGUGUACCUGAAGAAUAAGCAUCGGCUAACUCCGUG